CCAAGGGAAACUUUGGCUAAUACCGUAUAAUAUCUUCGGAUCAAAGAUUUAUCGCCUAGAGAUUAGCCCGCGUCUGAUUAGCUAGUUGGUGGGGUAAAAGCCUACCAAGGCGACGAUCAGUAGCUGGUCUGAGAGGAUGAUCAGCCACACUGGAACUGAGACACGGUCCAGACUCCUACGGGAGGCAGCAGUAAGGAAUAUUGGACAAUGGGGGAAACCCUGAUCCAGCCAUGCCGCGUGAGUGACGAAGGCCUUAGGGUUGUAAAGCUCUUUUGGCGGGGAAGAUAAUGACUGUACCCGCAGAAUAAG
rnacentral:rRNA from 1 species